UAAGACGGAAGGUGCAAGCGUUGCUCGGAAUCACUGGGCGUAAAGGGUGCGUAGGCGGCCUGGUAAGUCUGGCGUGAAAGCCCAGGGCUCAGCCCUGGAAGUGCGCUAGAAACUGCAAGGCUAGAGUGCCGGAGGGGAGAGUGGAAUUCCUGGUGUAGCGGUGAAAUGCGUAGAUAUCAGGAGGAAUACCGGUGGCGAAAGCGACUCUCUGGACGGCAACUGACGCUGAGGCACGAAAGCGUGGGGAGCAAACAGGAUUAGAUACCCUGGUAGUCCACGCCGUAAACGAUGGGCACUAGGUGUCGGGGGUAUCCACUCCCUCGGUGCCGCCGCUAACGCAUUAAGUGUCCCGCCUGGGAAGUACGGUCGCAAGGCUG
rnacentral:rRNA from 1 species